GACGAACCUUGCUAACGUUAUUCGGAAUUACUGGGCUUAAAGGGUGCGUAGGCGGCGCAGCAAGUUGGGUGUGAAAUCCCUCGGCUCAACCGAGGAAUUGCGCCCAAAACUGCUGCACUAGAGGAAGACAGAGGUACGCGGAACUUAGGGUGGAGCGGUGAAAUGCGUUGAUAUCCUAAGGAACACCGGAGGCGAAAGCGGCGUACUGGGUCUUAUCUGACGCUGAGGCACGAAAGCUAGGGGAGCGAACGGG
rnacentral:rRNA from 1 species